UUAAGUUGGGCACUCUAAGUUGACUGCCGGUGACAAACCGGAGGAAGGUGGGGAUGACGUCAAAUCAUCAUGCCCCUUAUGAUUUGGGCUACACACGUGCUACAAUGGACAAUACAAAGGGUAGCGAAACCGCGAGGUCAAGCAAAUCCCAUAAAGUUGUUCUCAGUUCGGAUUGUAGUCUGCAACUCGACUAUAUGAAGCUGGAAUCGCUAGUAAUCGUAGAUCAGCAUGCUACGGUGAAUACGUUCCCGGGUCUUGUACG
rnacentral:rRNA from 1 species